rnacentral:lncRNA from 1 species
UUAUAUAUAUAUAUAUAUAUAGGUAUGAUUGUUUUAAGUGUGUACGUGUGUGUAUAUUUAGUGUUAUAUAGGCUGAAAAUUAAUAUAGUUAUAUAGUUUCUUUUAUUUUAUUUUAUUAAAAUUUAAUGAGUAGGGUUUUUAUCCAAGCCCAAUACCCAAAUACAAAACCCAAGCCCAAACUUGAUAGCUAGGAAAAGAGUUUGUUGUUCAGGCAGAACGACGUCAUCCUCUUCUUCUUCGUCUCCUUUAGAGCCUCCUGCUUCUUCUCCUUUGUCUUCUUCCUUCCGACCUCUAAACUCGAAGCUUUGUCCUCUCUUCUUCACCGACUUCUCCUUUCUUUCGACCAGAUGUUUCCCAAUCUGAAACAUUGCCGCCGUGAAACCCAGAAACCAUCCUUGAAACGCCUAGCAGCCGACUUCAUUAAGCAGGAGAUGUCAAAAUUCUUGGAGACUAAGUUUCCAGAUGGAUAAGAAUUGAGUUGAGGUGCUCAAUUUGACUUUCUUUAGUCUUUCUUGGACUCCACAUUCUUCCCUCUUUCCAGACCCUAUAAAUAGAGGUUAGUAUUCAGAGUUUUCCAUAUGUUUCUUUGCGUUCUACUGAGAGAGAGAGAGAGAGAGAGAGAGAGAGAGAGAGAGAGAGAGAGAGAGAGAGAAGAGAAGAGAAGAGAAAUUGGUGUUGUAGGAAAUUGGUAGAACUCAGGUUAGAUUCUCUUUAUGUUCAAACCAAUUGAUUGUGUUUAUAUGCUCUUAGUUUUUGAAUUUAGAAUUUGACAUCACUUUGGAAUCUUUGUAUGAUUGUUUAUUUGAUUGGAAUAGAUCCUAUUAAGAAUUGGUUUUGGUUUUGUUGUUGUUGAAUUCUGUGGCAAAUAGGAUUACUAAAUCCUUUGGUUUUGGUUAUAUUUGAUUUGAUUUCUUUGUUAGCCAAAUCAGUUCUUAUAUAUUAUUAACAGCUAGAGAAUCAAGUAUAUAAUGAUGUUGUUGUUGUUGUUAAAAUCUCAGUCUUAAACCCUUUACUUUGAACAUGAGAUAUAAACUUUCAUCACAGCAGUUUUUCUCUACUGUAUAUGAUUUUCGAAAAAUCAUAAGUAAUUGUAGAAAAAUCCUUUUUCUGCGAUUCCAGUUCUCAAAUGAUCUUUAGGUUGUCUUUUACAAAUGUUAUGAAGACACCAAUUGUAAUUGCCCAGCCAAACUAUGUCGUUUUUGGUCUGAAAGUAUACUGGUCAGGAAAUCUUGUUGUUAGACUUUUGUUGUUUUAGUUGUACUCUUUGCUUUUAAUUUUUGUUGUUAUGUUAUGAAAUUAUGCUGAUAUAGAUAUCUGAUAUUGGUGUUCCUAUAUAUGCUUUAAUUCCUAAAUUUUGAAAGUAGAAACCAAGGACUGGAGUUGUAUAAAGUUGCUUAAAAAUAUAGAAGUUAAUACUAUUGCAUGCUACUUUUAUUGGUUGUCUUUGUGGUAAUUUAAGCUAGUCUUUUUAGUGCAAUAUUUGUGUUGUUUAUUCAUUCUGAAACAUUUUAGUGUCUAUAUUCAAUAAUCAGUAGUUUUUGAUACAUUUGAGUUCAUACAGUAGCUUUAUUCUUUUCCAAACAGAAUAGAAACUGAUAAAGAUGAUUAUAGAACUUUAGUUCUAUAAGUUUGGGUGCCCUGAGUAAUUUCAGUGUUGCUGUUUGAAUUAGAGAUUUUGGUUUUCUCUUACACAACAAGAGCUUAGAGUGACUAAGAAACCUAUAUGAGGAUAAACAUCCAUAGAACUGAUUAGGAACCUUAGACUUUGCAUGAACUGAAGUGACAUUUGAAUGGAAAAGUUUUUGUAACUUGUUCAUUUAGUUAACUUUGAGCAGCCUUAUCUUUUGAAUUAAUCAUGCAUAUUAGAAAUCAUUUGCAUGUAUUGAAAGUUCAUAUUCUUAGCUUGAUAUCUGGGUAGUUCCAUGCAAGUUCAUUUAGAAUUCGUUAGUCAAGUUUGGAGCUGAAAACAGAGCUAAACAUUCUGUAAAUCAGCUUUCUUGUAUUUUUGGAGUCAGUCACCUUGAUUUCUAAAAACCGUACAUUUAGGUUGGUUAUUUGAAGUUUGUUUCUGCAUAAAAGUUGUAGCAGACAUCUUAAAUAUUAUUCCAGAAUUUGAAUCACUUCAAAAGGAUUUCUUUAGAUUAAGAUAUGAUUUUUCAAAGUUCAUGGUCUGCAGUAAGAAAUUCUGCAGAUCAGUUUUCUGUGUUUUUGACCCAGCUGCAUUUUUACUAAAACCUGUGCAUUUCAGUUGAGUAUUUGAAGUUAUUGUCUUCAUAAAAGUUAUAGUACACAUGUUAAACAUCAUUCCUGAAUUUGAAUCUCUUAAAAAAGAGUUUUGUAGAUUAAGUUAUGAUUUUUCAAAGUUAAGGUUAUCAGGAAAUUUCUGCAAAUCAGUUUUCCAAGUUUUGGACCAAGUAACCUUUCUAUUAAAACCUGUACCUUUUGGUUCAGUAUUUACAGUUAAUGUUUUCACAAAAGUUUUGGUAGACAUCUUAGUGAUCAUUUCAGAACUGAAACCCCCCUGAAAAUGAUUUAUGUACAUUAAGUUAUAAAUUUUUGAAGUUGAAGGUCAGCUUUAAAUGGUUUCUACAUUUGUUACUAUUUUACUGUUUGUUCAUUUUGAUUUCAAUGGUUUCCUUCAUUCAAACUUGUUUAGAUUCACCACAAACUGAACACACACAUUCUCAACUUUCAAACAAAGCUUGUGACAUUAUCUUCCAAAUUUAUUUGAGAUACUUAUGCCAUUUUGAAAUCAGCUAUGUGUAACAAUUUUUCUUCAAAAUAAAUCUGCAUCACAUUUUGCUUAGUUAUCUAGCACGUCAAAUGUUAUCUUAAUGGCCUGAGAUUUUAGGUACUAUGUUUUUGAGACAUAUGCUUUAAAGUAAAGUAUGUUCUUAAGUCAUAUGAUAGCUUUGUGUUUAAAAUUAAAUGUGUGCCUAUGGAUAGGAUUGUGAAUUGUAUUCGGAUAUCUAUUUUUAUGCAGGGACAUGUACAUUGACAAUAGCUUGGAAUCAAGGUCAGGGGAUCUGAGGAACCUCUAAUCAUUUGUCUUAUGUGCUUAUAUGUUUGUUGACAUGUUUGGUUUGGUGUAGUUGAGUAUUUGUGUGAAUUACAUGUUUGAAGUAUGAGUUGUUUAUAAUUCGAUGCAUCAUUCAUUAAAGUCAUUUGAAGGAUAAGGGUGGUGAAGUUGAUAUGAAAUUGAUCUUUUGCGUAGUUGAGUCCAAACCUCAGCAGGAACCAUGUCCCAGGUAUGCCCGUGGUUAUUGCGCAAUUAGUAUAGGAAUGAUAAGGGUAAUUCGGGACUGGAGAAAGGGGAAUGGACAAAAUGACUAGCAAAAGAGGGCUAGGGAUUGAUUUUGGUGAAGUUGUUCAUAUAGUUGAGUAUGCUGAGUCACCGUCUUGGUAAAAUACAUGGUAUGGGACAUGUAGGCUCAGUUUGUUCAGCUAUGUGGAUUAACUGGAGUAGAACAUUCAUUUAUGCAUAUCAUGUGAUCAUUGUAUGAUUUUCUUUGUUUGGAGAGGAAUAGCUCCCUACUGAGCCGCAGGUUGAGCUCACCCUUUUACAGUCUUGCAGUCUUGCAGGUUAUGAAACAGGAGAACAACGACAAUUAGUGAUCAAGACGUAGAGUUAGAUGGAGUUCUAAAUGUGUAAGAGCUUCAUUUAGGAAGAGAGUACCCUUAGUCAUUUUGGUUGUAUCCAAAUAUAUAUUGAAAUGAGAAGUCGAUUCUUUUAAGUUGUCAUUUCUUAUUUUCAUUUCCUUUAGCUUAUCAUUUAUUUUAGCUCACUCGGGUUUUCGAAAAAAAAAAAAUUUCUACCCCAAAAUCCGGGGCAUGACAUACAGAGAAAAAGAAAAUCAGAUUAGGGCUUUAUUUAUGGAAAUUAAAGCUCAAGGAAGAGUAAAACGAAAGAGAAGUGAUGAGUUUAUCUUCCCGGAGCACGAGUUCGCCAGAGAGAGAAAAAUUCGGCUAGAAAUUGGAUUUGAGUAUUUAGGGUUCGGAUUUCAAUAUGAAAAAUCUAUGUUUGUAUGUGAAAUUUUUGGUGGGUAUGAGGAGGUAGAGGAGAGAGAGGUGAGCUGAAUGGUGGUCGCUGAUUGUCUAAUGACGGCGGAGGCGCGGCUGGACUAAGCGGCAUUGCUCCUCCUCCCUCUGCCGCAAGUCUCUCUCUCUCUCNNNNNNNNNNNNNNNNNNNNACUCUCUCUCUCUCUCUCUCUCUCUCUCUCUCUCUCUCUCUCUCUCUCUCUCUCCCCAGAAAACAAAGAAAAAAGAGAGAUUAGGGUUUUUACUCGAUAUACCUAGGACCAACGGGCCAGAUUAGAUCGAGAAUGGGAAUGGAGGGCUGAGAUUAAAAGGUAGAAAUUAAAAUUUGAAAUGGUAAUUAAAAAAAUUACCUGAAACUUCAAAAAUUCGUAGAAAAUAGUUCGCUGUUCGGAAAAAUAAUCCGAAGACACCAGUGAACUCGUGGCGCUCAGAAUUUAGAACUGCCGCCUGUUUUCAGACUUAGGUUUUUCGAUUUAGAGGGAUAGUUUGCUCCGGCAACUAAAAUAUAACAGCAAAUUUCUACGACGACAUUAAAUACCGUUGCAAAUUCUUCAUUUUCAUGCCAUGACAAGAUAUAGCCGUAGCAAAUAAUUUUAUCUUUUGCCUCGGCAUGGCAUUGCCAUCGCAAAACAGAUUUUUUUUUUUUUUUCUGCUACCCCACGUUUACCUUCUCAAAAGUAGAACUAUUGGCGAUGGCAUUUGCGUAUCGUCGCAAGCCGUGGUAGCCAAAAUAAACAUUUUUUUUGUAGUGUAUUUUCAAUGAAAAUGAAUUUUAUCUCAGGUAUACAAUUUACAACCACUAAAACUUCUUGGGCAAAAAAAAUCAACGUACGUACCUUUAAGCUAGGAAGGAGUACGUAAGAUGAGUUUUAUUAAUUGGAGAUCUAGUCAGGAAAGACCCCUAGCUAGCUAGCGCAAACCCUACAUCAGAUUUGAAGGUGGAGCAAGAUCCAUUCGGGGCCCAGCCUAUUAUUAGUUAACGGCUUGUCUUUGUCUAGGAAGCACGGAACCGAUGAGAUGGUCACGCUUCAUGCUUCUGAAGCGGAAGCGCCAUGGAAGUGCCGGGAAGCGUCCGGAAGCGCGAUUCCGGGAAAAUGAGGUUAUUGAAGCGCGGCGGAAGCGUCCGAUUCCGAUAUGGAAGCGCACGACUUCGAUUUGGAAGCGCGGACGAGCAUUGUGGGUCAGCAGCGUGUUGAUCUUCUUUCAAUCUCCUAUGCACUCAAUGAUCGAGAAAGGGAGAGACAAAACAAAUCAGAAUCUGGAAGGAGAUAGAGAGAGAUGUAGAAUGUCACAUCCCGACCCUUAUAUUUUACCUUAUUUACUAGCUUAGUUAUAAUAAGAAUUUUACCGUAUCCGUCAAUGAAGUUAUAGUUUAAUUGGUCCCUCGAGGGGUUUUGGGGGACGAUUAUUUCGGAGAGUUCUUCGCAGGAGAAAAUUAUGACAAUGGUAAAAAUGGUAAAAUUUUAGCUAGUAAAAGGUAAUUUUUAUUCGGGUAUUAUUUUUCGGGGUGUUUUAUUUUUGGAGUUGGGUUUUUUUUAAGUGGGUAUUAAGUUGGACCGGGGUUUGGGGGGGGGGGGGGGGUAGGCCCAAAGCCAUUUUCUCCCUUCUCUUCUUUUUUCUCUUCCCGGUUUGCACUCUCCCUUCGCCGGAAAUCCUCCGCACGCCGCCGUCCUCCGGCCGAGCCAGGCUGCCGCACCGGUCCCGUCUGGUGAUAGGAGCAUAAUUAUGCGACAAUAUGAUGGUUAAUUCCCCUCUUUACUUUAUUAGUUUAUCGUAUUUUCCAUUUGAUUUAGUUAUUUUUAUGUUUAUUAGGUGUUUCGGAGCAAAUAAAGGAAUAUGAAGCAAAAGAGGAGAAAUCUUGAAGGAUUAGGAAUUCAUGUCGUGUCAGGAAAUAAUUAUGGGAUUUGCCAGAAAUUAUCAUCUAACUUCGACAGAGGAUUGUGAUCAGCUCACAACGAUCCAGACAAUGCGUUAUAUAUCAAUAGAAAGCUACAAGAGUCUACUUUCUAUAACUUUUUACAGAUCGUCAAUACCUAUUUUGUAGAAGAAGUUAUGAUCAUUUUAGUGGCCGAAUGUCAGUCUGCCCGAAUUUCUGAUUUGGACCGUAACUUCAAUUUCAAGGCCCAAUCCAAAUCAGCUGGCCCAUGGACGGAAAUUGAGGGUUCUCUAACCUAAUAUCAUCUGAUACACGAGAGGAAACGAAGAGAAAGGAGAAGUCGGGAAGAAAAGAACACAAGAAUCGGACGGAACAAGAUUGAUCUCUUCUCAAGGAUUCUCCAAGCUCGGUCAUUGUUGUCUUCCCCUUCCAUGAACUCUUUUGUGUUUUUAAUUUUCAUUAUGCGCAACUAAACUCAUAGUAGCUAGGGGGCUGUUGAAGCCCCUAGACAUGAUUCAUAACAUGCUUUGAUUUUCAAUUUGUUUUUGCAAUUAAUAAGAUUCAGGUUUUGUUUACCGAUUGUUCAUCGAUGAAUUCUUUGUGUGUGUGCUUUGGAGGCCUACUUAGUAUACAUGCUAGGGUUCUAAUACUUUGAUUAUUUGAUGCCUGGGUCAAUAUCGGAUCCCUCAAAUUGUCUAGAGAAGUAAUCGGUAGUUUUCACUAGCGAGUAGAUGAAACCCUAGGUUUAGCAAGGCGCUAAGUUUAUUGCGAUGCCUAGUGAUUGCUCAAACUCUUUUCAUGCUUAUUGAUCUCUGCUUGUUUAACCUAAUAAAUGUACCUUUAGGUUACAAUGUUUGAGAAUAGUUUAGGUGUAGAGCACUUCCUGCCUAACGUACAAAGUAAGAAAGAGUAAUAGAUUGUGCUCAAGCGUACCGAGUCAAUCUGAGCAUCUUCAAUUGAGUUAGUUGGUCACAAAUUGGACAAAGUGUGUUGUGUGUGAUUGUCGGGGGUGGAUACUUCCUCCCUAGCUAGUCUCAUUAUCUUGAUUUUCAACUACUUUGAAAUCAGUUUUCAGUUUUCUUAUCUUCUGUUCGUCAUAUUCCUGUAUUUUAUUUCCCUAUCAAAUCAACUCCGAUUUAUCUCAAAUUUUGUGUGCUAGACUCUCUGUGUGUCUAGUACACCUUUGUAAAUUUUCGUGUUUUUCUGAACAUUCUAGGUUAGGUUUUACUUUUAUUUUUCGACUGUUGUUCAAUAGGAGCUGCAGUCACGUUUUGUGACUUUUGUUGAAGCUUUUAGUUUAACUUAAUCCUCUGCGGGAGACCCUUAUUUCUCUAUAUUAUAAUCGACAAAUUUUCAGGAGAAUAAGGAAAAUAAAUAGCUUUUAAUUUAGCUAUCAUCUGGACCGGCGUCUCCUCCUCUCUCAUCCUUAGCCGGUGAGCGCUGCCACUUCACGGCCGAACGGGAGGAAACCCGUCUCGAAGGGGCGACUGUGGUGUCGCUGGAACUCCCUCCUCCGGCCACCAAUCCUGGCAAGCUUGGUACGGUUUUAUAGGUCUCCAACCCAGCUACCUUGCCCUAAAAAGGACUCACUCCGGUUCGCUUCAGGUAAGGAGAAAUUUGAGGUGGAAGCUCUAGGGCUUUUUGUGUUGUUUUGCUCGAUUGACCUAGUUAGGCUUGAAAUUGGUGUUUGUGCUAGUUAGGAAUGUUGUAGAGGGAGUUGAGAGGAAGAUGCUGUUAAAAUUUCAUAGGCAUUGGAGGUCGCCGGAAUUGGCCUCCGGCCGCCGCUGCCGGCGCUGGUUGGGAGAUUUUAAUGUUUUAAAUGUGGAAUAUUAAGAGGAGUGUAUUGAUGUAAAUUAUGGAAUUUUUGGAUGAGUUUUGGAUAGGUUUAUGAAUUUCCGAAGUGUGGUAUUUUUUACGGUUAAUUAAUGUAGAAUCCGACCGUAGGAUUUAAGUCAUAUUUUUGGGGAGGUUGUAAUUACGGCUGCCGAGUAUGAUAUUUAAGUUCGGAUCGUUUCGACUUAAGAAUAUCGAAGUUAGGCAAUGAUGAGCGUAGUUAUGGCUCUCGGUUAAUUUUGCCUAUUUUGUUUAAAUAUUGGAGUUUUAGUUGGGAAAUUAAUUUUAUAUUUGUGCAAGGGUUCGAGAAAACCUCUCUGGAGUGGCGAUUUGGAUUUCGUCGGGCUUAUGCCUAGAGUUGUGAGUGGACUUUUGUUUUAAAUAAAAUGCAUGCUAUAGUUCAUAGAUGAACAAUUAAUGUUGUGGAGCAUUUUGACGUCAUUUUAUUUUGACAGUUUUAUUUCUCUUGGAGAGUUACCGAAAAUGGGAUUUUCGGUGAAUAUAAAUAUGUAUUUAUGAGGAGAGUAUGUAUAAAAAUGCUAGCUAGCCCUAUGUGUCUGUCCACCUUAAUGGCGUAACAUAUAGCCGCAUUAUGGUGUGACAUGAGCGUUGGACGCGAGCGUAGUAGCCCUAUAUGAGUGCUUAAUUCAUAUAGGGGGUAUGGGCACAUAUUUAUACACCCGUCUAUCCACCUUAAUGGCGUAGUGUAGCACCGCAUUAAGGCGUGACGUGAGCGUUGGACGCGAGCGUAUUAGCCCUAUAUAGACCCAUGAAUUUAUAUAGGGAGUAUGGACGUGUGUAAAUACAUACAUAUAUUAUAGAGCCUGAGAGGCUCGACAUUUAUGAGAUUUGUUUAGAUUAGUAAUUAAUUUGGGUGGUGUUGUGAUUUUGGGAGCACGGAGGCUCCAGGAGUUUAAGGUUGGAUUUAAAUUUUCAGAAGUGUUUGCAGGUAUUAUUAGGAAGGGUUGUCCAUUUUCAAGAGAGGUUAUGCCGAUUUUUCGAUAAAUUUUCCUUGGAGGUGGUCCCCGCACGACUUACUUUGGGUUUCAGGGUGAAAUUUAGGAUGGGUCGUGUCAUAGAAGGUGAGGGAGAACUGGAGAAUCGGAGAACAAAGAGAACAGAGAUGCUGAAGAGAGAACCCAAAAUGAAGAUGGAUGUCUCUUCUUCUUUUAUUUGCCAACGAAGAAGAUGGAUGGCUUCCGCUCUCUUGAUUUGCACACCCACAUGCUAUAGUUGCAAUGAAGGGGUUAAACAACUUUUGGAUGGAAAAAACAUAGUUAUUAUGGGAUUAAUAGUUAUCUUAAUAGUAGAUAAAGGAGUUAAACAAUUAAAUAAUUAGGAUCUGAGGUUGUAAAUUGUUUCAUUAAUUUGUAUUUAUCAUUAACAAUAAAUAAGAAGAUUUGGAAAGCUAGUAAUAUUAUUAUUUUUUAUAUUAUUUUAUUCCGCGUUUUCAAAAUGCUUCCAUUUCUAAGUAUUUUUGAGAAAAAACGCUUCUGCGUUUCCAAACGCUUCCGCUUCCGAUUCCAUACAACGUAGGUCUUUGUUCAUCAAUCAAUGAGCUAGUAUGUGAUGAGUGCAUGUACGUACAAUUCUAUACGGUGUUAAAUUUGUUUGGUGGAACAGCCUGGAUCGAAUAAAUUCAAUUUCAAUAAUGGAUGAAUUAGGGACCCAUGAAUUCAUGGUUCACAAAAAAUGUGAUCAAUGAUGAUGAAAUGAAAUAAAAUCAGACACCGACGAUUUGUAUAUGGUCAGAUUCAAAAGCUAGCUAGCUGUAAGCAUACAUUGAGCUAGCUUCUUCUAAUCUUCUUCUUCCCCAAUGGAGCAACCAAGCUCGGUGAAACUGGUGGAGAUUUGCAGGGUGGCUCCAAAACCAGGAGCACAAGUAGAUCUGUUGUCCCUUCCUCUCACCUACUUUGACUCGCUCUGGCUAAGGUUCCCACCCGUACAACGCCUUUACUUCUAUGAAUCAACAUCUUCUUCUUCCACUACUACUACCGAUUCUCUACUUGCCUAUCUCAAAACCUCGCUCUCUCUCACUCUCAAACACUUCGGACCUCUCGCCGGAAACCUAACUUGGCCUCAGGACUCCCCCAGACCCGUUCUCAGCUAUGUCGAAGGCGACGCCGUUUCGCUCACAGUAGCCGAAUCGACCGAUGCUGAUAAUUUCGACCACCUUUCGAGCAACAGCGUCUUUGUCGAAUCCAGAGCUUACCAUCCACUUGUUCCCCAAUUGGAGUCGUCUCACGAACGAGCUGCAGCCAUUGCCUUGCAAAUAACCCUAUUUCCUGGCCGUGGCUUUGCCAUCGGAACAGCCAUGCACCAUGCCAUCCUUGACGGCAAAACAUCAAUCUCGUUUGUUAAGUCGUGGGCUCAUGCAUGCAGCAAACAAGUCGAAAAUGGCGUAUCCGAUAUUGGAUCAGAUGUCUCGUUACCGGAGAAGUUGAAGCCGUUAUAUGACAGAACGGUCAUCCAUAACCCGACCGGGCUCGGACUCGAAUCCAUCUACUUGAAGGAAUGGCAAAACAUGGAUGGCCCCAACAACAGAAGCCUAAAGAUUUGGGAGUUGAAAGCUCCACCAGAUGACUCAGUUCGAGGCAUCUUUGAGUUCACUCGCGGACAUAUACAAACCCUAAGGCAGAUGGUAGUUGAAAAAGUUUCUGAUCUUCAUUUGUCAACGUUUUCUUUAGUGUGUGCUUAUACUUGGGUUUGUUUAGUCAAGGCACAAGAAGUAGACGCCGGAAAAACUUCAUAUCAGGUAUUUAGUGUGGACUGUAGGUCUCGCUUGGACCCUCCGGUACCGGAAAACUAUUUCGGGAACUGCACGAGGGGUGUGCCGGUGUUUGCAGAGGCAAAUGAGUUAUUGGGUGAAGAUGGGUUGGUCGUGGCGGUCACAGCAAUUAGUGAAGCUAUAAAGGGUUUGGACAAGAAUGGGGUUUUGAAGGGGGCCGACGAGGUUUACGUUUCGAAAGUCAAGGACUAUUUUGGGGUUGAGGGAUUCUAUUCUACUGCUGGUUCUCACCGAUUUCAGAUAUAUGAUACCGACUUCGGAUGGGGUAGGCCGACGAAAGUUGAGGUGGUUUCUAUAGAUAGGACCGGAGCAUUUUCAGUGUCGGAUUCCAAGAAUGGUGGUGGAGGUGUAGAGGUCGGGGUGGUUCUGAAGAAACAUGUUAUGGAGGCUUUUGCUUCUCUAUUUGCUAAAGGUUUUGGAAAACACUGAGUGAGAGGAGUUGAGAAAAGCCCUAUUUGCAGUUGUGAAUUGUGAUCGAGCUAUAUAUGUCGUUGAUUACCUAAUAAUAUAGCUUUUAUUGAAGAAUAUGUGCCUUGGUUUCAAGGAGGUAAGUUUUACGUAGUGGUGUGUCCUUCUGCUACUUGAGUACUUGAUGGACUCGUUUCGAUCUACUUCGUAUAUGUACAAUUUAGUUUUAUCUCAAUAAAGAUUGUGGUUAUUCUAUUCAAAAAGCACACACGCAUAAAUCUGGGUUCGGAUUCAACAUGGGGUGAGGACGUGAGGUAUGUGAUAUAUGUAUGUCAUUUUAAUUUUCAUUUAUUUGUUUAUUCAAUUGAAUUUGCUGGUUCUAACUUAUAACUACUUGGUUAGCAUAUAUAUAUAUAUAAGAUAUGGAGACGAUACGAGAACUUUGAACGUGUAUAUAACUUCUAAAUUUUGCUAACACCCAGAUUUUGGGACAAGUCAAUGUAUAAUAUACUUACGUAGAAUGCAGCUAUGAAGUAGUAAUUUUAAAUUGAUAUUCAGUUCGUCACCAUUUAUGUAAUUUUGCUUACAAUGUCGUUCUGAACUACAAAGAUAUAGUAUUCAUCUAGAUUCAUAAGAUGAAAACAAAGAUUAAAAUAUCGGUAUCGGUGUAUCUAUUGGUACUUUGAAAAAAUGAGAUAUCUGAUAUAUCGGGGAUAUCCGGAAAAAAAUAUCGGAAUUUUGGAAAGAAAUUUUUUUUUCUGAAAUAUUUAAAUUAUUAAAUUUACAUAUAAAUAUUACAAACAUUAACUUUAUCUACAUCUAGAAUGAGAAUCUAGGUUGUUGAUAAGACACACGCUGGUCCACAAAAGUACAAUAAUCAGACUAAGACAUAUGACUCAUAUAGUAUGUGUAGUGUUGAAUAUGAUAAUCAUAUAUCUCUUUAGAGAAGCCGAUUGUUUCCCCUAUAAGUGGAUAGUAAGAAUGAAUUCAACUAGAUGACUGAUCACUCAUUUCUGCGCAUUGAUUAUAGCCAUAUUGAUUGUUGCCUUCUUAGGAUUGUUUGAGGUUCCAGUCCCACUACCUAAACUGAUAGACUCAAAAUUUAGCGCAACUGAAGCAACAUCUUGAUUAUCAUUUACACCUCUUGCGCUCCACACCUAGUACUCACUACCAGGACAAACACUUUAGUCGACGAAAAAGUUUCGUCGGCCUGUUAGCUUAAUUCGUCGGCUAAGAUUUCGUCAGGAAAAGGUCGUCGGCAAUGACUUUAGCCGACGAAACUAGAAGACGUCGUCGGCUUUAGUCCCAUAAUUUAGCCGACGAAAAAGAGAUCGUCGGCUUUUUUCCCAGAAUUUAGCCGACGAAUAUCUUAAAUGUUUCGUCGACCGUAGUCUGAGACUUUAGCCGACGAAACGUUUAAUAUAUUCGUCGGCUAAAGUAUGUAAUAAAAAAAUAACUAAAGCCGAUAAAAUAUAGUUUGUUUCGUCGGCUUUAGAAGGGUUUAGCCGACGAAACAUUCCAUAAUUCGUCGGCUAAACCUUAUAAAAAAAUUUAAAAAUACUAUAGCCGACGAAUUAUGACGUAUUUCGUCGGCUAUAAGUCCAUUCCAGUAAAAAAAAAAAACCCAAAAUUUCUAAAUUACCAUUCCAAACAAGCUGCAAAAUACACCAAAACAAUUCCAUAUAACCAACAACAAGCACAUAAAACUAUACAAAAUCUAGAUCGUCUAAAUUAAUAUCCGCUUUCGGGGGCUGCUGCGGAGGUUGCGGCGGCUGGGGUAGCGGUAUAGCCGGAGGCAUGGGCGGAGCCGGAAGUCCAUGAAGCUGGGCAGCUGUAAACUCCUGCAUAUACUGGAACAUCUGCUGCUGCUGGGCCUGCUGGAUGGCAUAUAUCUCUGCAACAUAGGCUACUUGCGCGGCAUUAUAGGCAACCUGAGCAGCUUGUUGUUCCCGUAGUCUCUGAACUUCCGACUCUAGCUGAGUCGUCCUGGUGGUUAUGGUCGUGGUCCUGCUGCUGGUCGAGGCUGCCUUUCGUUGAAAUCCUGGAGUGGUCUUCAGGACCCCCUCGCCCUUCUUUCCUAGACCCCUGCAAUAGAAGUUGUUUGCUCGCGGUGGGAAAGCUGUGCCCAUGAUCCUCACACCAACCGUCGGAUCUGAAGUGUCGAUCCGGAACAUGGCUUCGGACAUCUCUUCCUCCUGCGUGGCUGGCCAUGUCUCCCUCACUAUAGCACUCAUCACCUCGUCACUAGCCUCUCUCACCUUCGCCUAAUUGGAUAGGAAAAAAAUUAUUAAUUAACAUUUUAACAUAUAUAUAAGUAAAAUUAAAAAUUUAAAAACGUAAGAUGACUUACAAUAUCCUCCUGGCGUCAGGAUAUGCCUUCUUGUACGUAUAGACGUACCGGUUAACUUCUGGAUGUUCCCUGGCCGCCUCGUCCAUGAAGACAGCGAACGGUCUAGAACCGGCAUGAUGGUUCCUUGUGUUGCGUUGCCGGUUAUGAGUGUUUGCUCGGGAAACGGCCUUCAAAGAAAAAAAUAAACUAUUAGUAAAAUAUUUAAAAACGCACGUACUUAAUGACAAAUUAACUAAUUAAUUUUUUUAAAUACCUGUUUACGAGGGUUGUUAAAUUCUGAUGUCGGAAGCCAACGCCACUCGUACUCCAUGUACUGGAACUCAGCAGGGGUACCAGAACGUGUGUUCCCGUGCGUAGUCCAGUGGGUCCGCAACUCGUUCUUACACUCCUUGUACCUACAGAUACAACAAAAAUAUUAGAAAUAUUAUAAAUAUCACAUACAAUUUUGUUUUUUCAUUAACUUCCCAACGUACCUUCCCCCAUGCACAACUUCCGCCCAGCUGUUCUUCAGGUGCUCGGGAACCUCAAACCACACCUGUAUUUAACCGUUUAUUAGUUUAGUUUUUCGAGAAAUCAACAAUGUAAUACAUAAUAUUAUUGAGUCAUUUUGUAAACUCACCGACAUCGCGUUGUGGACCAUGUCCUUAACCUCCUGCAGGACCUCACCCUAGUCUGACCACAACAUAGGGACUCUAUCUCUGAUGAGCGCUCCCACGCGGCCGGAGUACGUCAUCGAUUUCCCGCCCGAUACUAUGUUGNNNNNNNNNNNNNNNNNNNNUAUAAGGUUCCAAUACUCCUUGGAACGGAUAAAGUUCUCCAUCAUCAAUGCCCAAUGAGCAUAAUGCCCAUCAAACUUUGGAAUUGCUACUGGCACAAAACUACCCUCAGCUGCCAUUCUCUCACUCUCUGCAAAGAAAUCUUAUUUCAAUGCUCCUUAGGUCAGGCCCCAGUGAUGGGGCUCUGAUACCAGAUGUUGAAAAACCAAAUCCUAGAAACAAAUAACUCUCAAGCUUUUGAUGGAUGAUUCUUAUUCAAUUCAAGAAACAACUACGGCUUAUAUAGCCAUUACAGAAGGAUAAGAAAUUCAAAACAAACCACAUCUUUACAACCCUAAGACUGUGGUCGACUCAACUAAAGAAUAGCUCAAACUCUAACUAGUAAAUAACAAGCUCCUCAUAACUAGGAGUUAUUAACAGAUACGAAGACCAAGCAAUCCUAUCAACUCAAACUACUUAACCAUCAUCCAAUUGAAAUGCAACGACCAAGUCUCCAACAGAUUCAUGCGAAUGGUAUAUACUUGUUUCUUGAUUUCAAAUGAAUCAAUAAUUGAUUCAUCACUCCCAGCUUUAUAUUUCCAUGGCUCUUGAAUUCCAAAACAUACAGUUGAGUAAGAGAAAGGGAAACUGAGAUGUCGAUCUACAUUCUCCCUCCUUUCAAAUCUAAUCUCUAUAAACCAAACCAGAAGCUUGAAUUGGCUUGAUUAUGAUGAUGAGCAAGUGAAUAUGGUUGGUCGGGAAAUUUGGUCUACUGGUAAAUAAAGAUAGCAGACCUGACUUUCAUUCUCUUUUUCAUGAGGAUGAACGACUGGGCUUCCUCAAUUUGUUUUGUUUGAAAAGGUUUCUUCUUCCUUUCAUAUGAACCAGGAUGUGAUCGAUGUUUAAUUGUUUAUGUUUGCAGACCCACUAACACUGUUAUCUCGAACGUUAAUGAUUGGGUGAUGUGUUAAAUAAAAAACCACGUGUCUUGUGCUUAUUGGCUGGGAGGAAGAUCCAUUCGGGGCCUAGCCUAUUAGUUAACAGCUUGUCUUUGUUCAUCAAUCACUUCAAGGUGCACGUACAAUUCAAUACGGUGUUAAAUUUGUUUGGUGGAACAGCCUGGAUCGAAUAAAUUCAACUUCAAUGGAUGAAUUAUUGAAAUAAAUUCAGACACCGACGUUUUGGUGUGUAUAUGGUCAGAUUCAAAAGCUAGCUAGCUGUAAGCAUACAUUGGGAUCUUCUUCUUCCCCAAUGGGGCAACCAAGCUCGGUGAAACUGGUGGAGAUUUGCAGGGUGGCUCCAAAACCAGGAGCACAAGUGGAUCUGUUGUCCCUUCCUCUCACUUACUUUGACUCGCUCUGGCUAAGGUUCCCACCCGUACAACGCCUUUAGUUCUAUGAAUCAACAUCUUCUUCUUCCACUACUACUACUGAUUCUCUAAUUGCCUAUCUCAAAACCUCGCUCUCUCUCACUCUCAAACACUUCGUACCUCUCGCCGGAAACCUAACUUGGCCUCAGGACUCCCCCAGACCCGUUCUCAGCUAUGUCGAAGGCGACGCCGUUUCGCUCACAGUAGCCGAAUCGACCGAUGCUGAUAAUUUCGACCACCUUUCGAGCAACAGCGUCUUUGUCGAAUCCAGAGCUUACCAUCCACUUGUUCCCCAAUUGGAGUCGUCUCACGAACGAGCUGCAGCCAUUGCCUUGCAAAUAACCCUAUUUCCUGGCCGUGGCUUUGCCAUCGGAACAGCCAUGCACCAUGCCAUCCUUGACGGCAAAACAUCAAUCUCGUUUGUUAAGUCGUGGGCUCAUGCAUGCAGCAAACAAGUCGAAAAUGGCGUGUCCGAUAUUGGAUCAGAUGUCUCGUUACCGGAGACGUUGAAGCCGUUAUAUGACAGAACGGUCAUCCAUGACUGGACUGGGCUCGGACUCGAAUCCAUCUACUUGAACGAAUGGCAAAACAUGGAUGGCCCCAACAACAGAAGCCUAAAGAUUUGGGAGUUGAAAGCUCCACCAGAUGACUCAGUUCGAGGCAUCUUUGAGUUCACACGCGCAAAUAUACAAACCCUAAGGCAGAUGGUAGUAGAAAAAGUUUCUGAUCUUCAUUUGUCAACGUUUUCUCUAGUGUGUGCUUAUACUUGGGUUUGUUUAGUCAAGGCACAAGAAGUAGAAGCCGGAAAAACUUCAUAUCAGGCAUUUAGUGUGGACUGUAGGUCUCGCUUGGACCCUCCGGUACCUGAAAACUAUUUCGGGAACUGCACGAGGGGUGUGCUGGCGUUUGCAGAAGCUAAGGAGUUAUUGGGUGAAGAUGGGUUGGUCGUGGCGGUCACAGCAAUUAGUGAAGCUAUAAAGGGUUUGGACAAGAAUGGGGUUUUGAAGGGGGCCGACGAGGUUUACGUUUCGAAAUUCAAGGACUAUCUUGGGGUUGACGGAGUCUAUUCUACUGCUGGUUCUCACCGAUUUCAGAUAUAUGAUACCGACUUCGGAUGGGGUACGCCGACGAAAGUUGAGGUGGUUUCUAUAGAUAGGACCGGAGCAUUUUCAGUGUCGGAUUCCAAGAAUGGUGGUGGAGGUGUAGAGGUCGGGAUGGUUCUGAAGAAACAUGUUAUGGAGGCUUUUGCUUCUCUAUUUGCUAAAGGUUUUGGAAAACACUGAGUGAGCUGGGGGUUGAGAAAAACCCUAUUUGCAGUUGUGAUCGAGCUAUAUAUGUCGUUGAUUACCUAAUAAUAGCUUUUGUUGAAGAAUAUGCAUAUGCCUUGGUUUCAAGGAGGUAAGUUUUACGUAGUGAAACUCGAGUACUUGAUGGACUCGUUUCGAUCUACUUUGUAUAUAUACAAUUUAGUUUUAAAGUAAUGUUAGGUGAACCACCUUUAGAGGACGUUUACCUCCCGGCGAUAGAGCUCCCCAUAAAAAAUAUAUAUUUAGUGUAAAUAUGGUUGACCGCUUUGAUCAGAGCCCUAACUUUGCCAAAUUAAAGUGAUUUUUCUGCCAUAAAUCUAUUUCACUAUUCUGAUCACAUCUUAUUUCACGAGAUUUUUGAAAAUUUUGUUUCCUGUGUGUAGUUGGUUCACAAAGUUGUACAGUUGCAUAUAACCUACUAUACAAGUUAUACCAUAUUAGUAGCCACGUUGUGAUUCCGAUGACUAAAAUUUACAAAAUGAAAAUUCCACCGUCUGAUAUGAUCAUUAUAGUGAAACAUGGCUAUGAUAUGAAAUUCAACUCAAUUCGGCAACGUUGGGGGCUCGAUCGAAACGGUCAACCCUAAUCCAUCGUCACUUAUCACACGGAAACAUUCUUAACUACCCCUCCACGGCCUAGUUUGGUCAAUCCUUCCACAUAUUAAACUUUUACAUAGAUGAGACGUAACCACCCAUGUAAAAAUUAGGGGACGUUUACCUUCCGAUGAUAAGGCUCCCUAUAGGGAACAUUUAGGAUAAAUAAGGUUGACCGCAUUGAUCGGGGCCCUAACUUUACCAAAUUAAAGUGAUUUUUCUACAAUAGACGUAUUUCACUAUUUUGAUCACAUCUUAUUUCACGAGAUUUUUGAAAUUUUUUCUUCCCGUGUGUAGUUGGUUCACAAAGUUGUACAGUUGCAUAUAACCUACUAUACAAGUUAUACCAUAUUAGUAGCCACAUUGUGAUUUCGAUGACUAAAAUUCACCGUCAAAUAUGAUCUUUAUAAUGAAACAUGGCUAUGGUAUGAAAUUUAACUCAAUUCGGUAACAUUGGGGGCUCGAUCGAAACGGUCAACCCUAAUCCAUCGUCACUUAUCACACGAAAACAUUCUUAACUACCCCUCCGCGGCUUAGUUUUGUCAAUCCUUCCAUAUAUUAAACUUUCACAUAGAUGAGACUUAACCACCCAUGUAAAAAUUAGGGGACGUUUACCUUCCGAUGAUAGGGCUCCCCAUAUGGAACAUUUAGGAUAAAUAAGGUUAACCGCAUUGAUCGGGCCCUACCUUUGCCAAAUUAAAGUGAUUUUUCUACCAAAGACGUAUUUCACUAUUCUGAUCAUAUCUUAUUUCAUGAGAUUUUUGAAAAUUUUGCUUCCUCUGUGUAGUUGGUUCAUAAAGUUGUACACUUGCAUAUAACCUACACUACCAGGACAAGCACUUUAGCCGACGAAAAAGUUUCGUCGGCCUGUUAGGUUAAUUCGUCGGCUAAGAUCUUAGCCGACGAGCCUUCGUUGGCUAUGGUUUCGUCGGGAAAGGGUCGUCUGUGAUGACUUUAGUCGACGAUCCUAGAAGACGUCGUCGGCUAUUGUCCCAGAAUUUAGCCGACGAAUAUCUUCAAUGUUUCGUCGACCAUAGUCUGAGACUUUAGCCGACGAAACAUGUAAGAUAUUCGUCGGCUAAAGUUUGUAAUAAAAAAUUAAAAAAAUAACUAUAGCCGACGAAAUAUAGUCUGUUUCGUCGGCUUUAGAAGAGUUUAGCCGACGAAACAUGCCAUAAUUCGUCGGCUAAACUUUAUAACAAAAAUUAAAAAUACUAUAGCCGAUGAAUAUCUUACCUGUUUCGUCGGCUAUAAGUCCAUUCCAGUAAAAAAAAACCCGAAAUUUCUAAAUUACCAUUCCAAGCAACCUGCAAAAUACACCAAAACAAUUCCAUAUAACCAACAACAAGUACAUAAAACUAUAUAAUUGAUCAACUACACAAAAUUGAAGUUGUUUCCUACUAAAGUUAGCAACUUUCUGAACAAAACCACCCUAAUCACACAAAAUCAUCUCAAUUUUGAAGAAAAAAAAAAUAGCCAAAAACUAAACCCUAUAUGCACAAAAUUAUCUCAAAAAUACAAAUUAAUAUAUUCAAACAUAAAAGGGGAUAAGUAAAACCCUAGAAAUUGAGAAACCUGGAAAAGCGCUUUUGUGAGAAGCGGAUUCUGGAUGACCAUUGUAAAACCCCUACACAUCAAGUAACUGAGAUAACUAUAACAACACAUUUUCCUAUUCAUGCCGCAUAGAAAUGGUGAAUAGUUUGAAACCAGAAAACUCACUUGAACAAAGUCUACAUGCCCUCAACCAGAAACAAAGUGGUUGAACUUGUUGAAUCGACCAAAAUCAACAUAUCCCUGCAUCACAAUGAGCACUCAGACUCGGUGCACAGAAAUGAAUACAUCCAAAAUGUCCAUUUACCUACUCAACUUUCUUGAACUUUUAAAGCUUACUAAAACCAUGAUUAACUGUAAUAUCCCGGACCCAAUUUUACCUAUUUACUAGGUAUUGCACGAGUUACUGAAGAAUUUAACCGUGCUCGGUAAUUUGGUAAUUUAACACUCGACUUUAUUGUCGAGUUUUUCUCAAAAUGUCAAGUUCUUUUAUGGACCCGAGGUCUUAGUGCGCGUCGAUACGAGUUCAUCGGUGUCCUCCAAUUAUUUUUGGAGUUUCGAGUUAUUUUCUACGAUUUAUCGAAGGCUUGGUGUUAUAGUUAAUUUUUCUGAAAUCAGAUUAUAACUUUUAAUCUUGGCCAUCUGAUCGGUUAGGGUUUCGAUCUGGACCGUUGGUUCGGGUAUAAAGGGAAAACAGAUGGGUUGACCUUGUCAAACCCACAUACGGGCGUUGACCCGAGCCGGGACUGCUCUCUCUUCCUCUCCGCCUGCCUCCAUCAUCUCCGACAUGGUGACGCCGAUUCCGGCCACCACUUGCUGCAAAAACACCACNNNNNNNNNNNNNNNNNNNNUACGGAUGACGAUCCUCCCUGAGGUACUGACGGUCUUCUCGAGAGCCUUCCUUGUAACGUGGCCUCUCUUCUUCUUUGUCGGCUUCGCUCCGACGGUGCCUAUCACAUGAUAAACCAAAUUGAUUAUUAAAAUUGGAGACCUUUUAUUAUUAAUUAUAAGAAAACAAAUCAUUCAUCUUUCAUUACCUGAGGGCGAUGUGGCUGAUGCGACGGAUUUCGUCUCUGUAGCCGAUGAUGAUAACCCUCGCGGAAAUAAGAGGCGUAUCAAAAGGCACGAACCGGUACGCCGCUGAUGGAGCCACUGGCGGGGGCAGUGGAUAAAUCGGCGUCCCUGAACCAUCGACUGCAGGUAAGGCCGGUCUCAUCCGCGGAAGGAACAGAUGAGGCGGCGGCAUCUGUACCCCAGAUGACCCACUAUCCGAAGAAGUAGGACCCAAAGUGGGCGCUCGGUGUAUCUCAGGCAUACGGGGUGCAGACACCUCCGUCUGGGUCUGAGGCCACAGCUGCCUCGAGGAAUGAGGGACGCCCCGCUGCCUCGAUGAAGGGGGGACCUCCGGCUGCCUCUGCGCUGUCUCUAGAAGGGUCGCAUGUCUGGCUGUCAUGGGGCCCCGAAACAACGUUUGAGGGUUGCUAGAGGUUCCCUCAGACGAUUCGGACCUUUGGCCCUUUGAACCCUUCGUCGAUCUAAAAUUACCGCUCAUCCUGUUUAAAAUAUUAAUUUGAAUCAAGGCUGUGGCAUGGGCGGAUACACUCAUUCAAUGUUGCUCGUUAAUUCAAGGCUGAUGCAACAUUGAAAAAGUAAAAAUUCAAUCUUAUCCUUCUCAAAUCUAAGGCUCUAGAUUAUUUUGUAUUUAUUCUAUAAAAAAUAUUGUUGAAACCAUUUUUUUUUCAUUAUGUUCAUGCUUAAAUUUAAACACUUAAUAUAAUGUGAAAUAUAUAUUUUUGAAAUUAUACUUGUUCAAAAAUAUGAAUUCAAUUAAAUAUAUAUAUAUAUAUAUAUUCAAUAGGAUUUGAUAUAGGUUUUUCUAUUUUGUAUUUUGUAUCUUAUGUUUAAAAAUUCGAUGAAGAAUAUAUAUAUUGACACGACCCACCCCGAAUUUCACCCUGAAACCCAGAGUAAGUCGUGCGGGGACCACCUCCAAGGAAAAUUUACUGAAAAGAUUAAGCAAAUCUCCCUUGCAGAUGGACAACCCUAACUCGAAAAUGUCAUAUUACACUCUUAAUUUAACGCUUCUGAAUAUCACAUAAUAUACAAAAAUUCUAAAGUAUUCAGAGCUACUAAACACAAGCGGAAGCAAGAAAACACAAGUAGGUUGAACAGGUAACCUACUGAUGAAAACUGGCCGAAUACGAUCACAAGAGUCUUCGGUAUCAUCUAUGAAUACGAUCACAAGAGUCUUCGGUAUCAUCUAUGAAUACGAUCACAAGAGUCUUCGGUAUCAUCUAUGAAUACGAUCACAAGACUCUUGUGAUCGGUAAAUAUCUGACAAGAUAUCAUCUAUGAAUACGAUCACGAAACGAUCAAGAUAUGGACUAAACACCCUAUUCAUGAGAUCCAUGAACGCCGCGGGUGCAUUAGUAAGUCCAAAAGGCAUCACCACAAAUUCAUAAUGACCAUAACGUGAUCGGAAAGCAGUCUUGACUAUGUCACCCUCUCGGAUCCGCAACUGAUGAUACCCCGAUCUCAAAUCAAUCUUGGAGAAAACAGAGGCACCCCUCAACUGAUCAAAUAAAUCAUCGAUCCGAGGCAACGGAUAUUUAUUCUUCACUGUGACCUGAUUCAACUUCCUAUAAUCGAUGCAUAGUCUCAUGGUGCCAUCUUUCUUCUUGACAAACAACACUGGAGCACCCCAUGGAGACAUGCUAGGCCGAAUAAACCCUUAUCUACCAACUCCUGCCAAUUGNNNNNNNNNNNNNNNNNNNNGACUUGUGGAGCUGCAACCAUUGAACUGGACCAAGGUAGAAGCUUGGUGCGUUUUGGCUAGAGGGGACCCGAGGUGGUGUGGUGCUGAUUCAGUGGAGGUGGCGCCUAAGGAAGCAGCUGGGGAUGUUUGGAAGUCCUCCAUGUUGAGGUUUGGCAAGGAGGAGCUUCUGGUUUAUGAAGAAGGACAAUUUGAAGGUAAGCUUGGUGUUUCAGCUUCUGUGUUGGGUUGUAAUGAGGUUUGAGUUCGGGUUAGGUGUUCUGGUGUUGUUGCUCGGUGUUAUUUGGAGAUGGUUAAUGACUGUUUCAUUGUUGUGGUUGAUAUUUGUCGAUAACUUGGUGAUAGGAGUUUAUGGGGAGGUUAUGGCGAAAUUCCGGCAAGAGAAUCCGGCGAGGGCAGAAUCAGGCAGAGACUAUUGAGGUAGUUAUCGACAUUUUUCCAUGCUGUUGUGUAUCGUUUCAGUAAUAGGAAAGUUUGUAGGUUGUAGUCGGAAAAUCUUUCUAAGUGAGGCAAGUUUCUAUUUUAGGAAACUUUAUAUUUAUGAGAAACCCUUUUUGGGUGCCCUUAGUAAUUUGGUUGACGUGUUAAAGACAUGGAAAUUGCUUGUGACUUCAAUUGCCGGUUAAGGUUUGGUUUGGAACCGAAUAAGUUUUAGAUGCGAAGUUAGUAGAAAAUGAUUCUAAAUAUCUAUUGGUCAACCUGGGUCAAACUUGGUCAAUUCUGGUCAACCUAGGAAAUCCUAGUCAAACUAGGAAGAAGUCGAUUCGUUAAUGAUUAUUGGAGUCCGGUCUGACAAAUUUAUUCUUCUGUUUAUCGUCAGACGUGGGAUUGACUCGAGAUUGUGAAUAGUGGAGGCAGCGCUCGAGGAGUAUGCCGAGCAUUGAAAGGCUUAGGCCUAAUACUGUGAGUGGACUUUUGUUUUAAAUAAAAUGCAUGCUAUAGUUCAUAGAUGAACAAUUAAUGUUGUGAAGUAUUUUGACGUCAUUUUAUUUUUGACGGUUUUAUUUCUCUUGGAGAGUUACCGAAAAUGGGAUUUUCGGUGAAUAUAAAUAUGUAUUUAUGAGGAGAGUAUGUAUAAAAAUGCUAGCUAGCCCUAUGUGUCUGUCCACCUUAAUGGCGUAGCAUAUAGCCGUAUUAUGGUGUGACGUGAGCGUUGGACGCGAGCGUAGUAGCCCUAUAUGAGUGUUUAAUUCAUAUAGGGGGUAUGGACACAUAUUUAUACACCCGUCUGUCUACCUUAAUGACGUAGUGUAGCACCGCAUUAAGACGUGACGUGAACGUUGGACGCGAGCGUAGUAGCCCUAUAUAGACCCAUGAAUUUAUAUAGGGAGUAUGGACGUGUGUAAAUACAUACAUAUAUGUUAGAGCCUGAGAGGCUCGAUAUUAUGAGAUGAAAGUUUUAUCGCUUGCAGCAUGCAUUCGAUUUUCCUUGGAAAUUGAUUUGGGAAAACAUAAAUAUUUUAUUCGUUAAUUUAUUUUUGUCCACUCACUCUAAAGUUUAGUUUUCAAUGUUUUCCCCUGGGCUCUUCGUUUUAAAAUGCCCAGUUUUCAGGAUCGCAUAGUUGAGGUCGGGCGUACAUGGAGAUGAGGCAUAGUCAUCAUAUAGCUUUCGCUUGUUAAUUUAUUAUGUUUCCUUUCUUCCUAUUAGAGUUGCUCUGAACCUAUAAAUGGUUGGUUAUGAGAUUUGUUUAAAGUUAGUAUUUAUUUUGGGUGGUGUUGUGAUUUGGGGGAGCACGAAGGCUCUAGGAGUUUAUGGUUGGAAUUAAAUUUUCAGAAGUGUUUGCAGGUUUUACUAGGAAGGGUUGUCCAUUUUCAAGGGAGGUUAUGCCGAUUUUUCGGUAAACUUUCCUUGGAGGUGGUCCCCGCACGACUUACUCCGGGUUUCAGGGUGAAAUUCGGGGUGGGUCGUGUCACUGAGUCUUGCAUAUUGCUCUUUGAUUGAAGCUUCUAGAAGCUCCAAUGCCGCCUUCUUAGUACGGUAUGCCUGCUGGUAAGACAUUUUUGCCUUCACUUCCCUCUGCAUUUGUUGUCGGAGUGCUUCUGCAAAACAAAAAUGGUUUAACUCAUUCAAUGGAUGCAGACCAAAAAAAAAAAAAAAANNNNNNNNNNNNNNNNNNNNGUAGUAGCCCUAUAUGAGUGCUUAAUUCAUAUAGGGGGUAUGGACACACUAUUUAUACACCCGUCUGUCCACCUUAAUGACGUAGUGUAGCACCGCAUUAAGGCGUGACGUGAGCGUUGGACGCGAGCGUAUUAGCCCUAUAUAGACCCAUGAAUUUAUAUAGGGAGUAUGGACGUGUGUAAAUACAUACAUAUAUUAUAGAGCCUGAGAGGCUCGAUAUUUAUGAGAUAAAAGUUUUAUCGUUUGCAGCAUGCAUUCGAUUUUUCCUUGGAAAUUGAUUUGGGGAAACAUAAAUAUUUUAUUCGUUAAUUUAUUUUUGUCCACUCACUCUAACGUUUAGUUUUCAAUGUUUUCCCCUGGGCUCUUCGUUUUAAAAUGCCCAGUUUUCAGGAUCGCAUAGUUGAGGUCAGGCGUACAUGGAGAUGAGGCAUAGUCAUCAUAUAGCUUUCGCUUGUUAAUUUAUUAUGUUUCCUUUCUUCCUAUUAGAGUUGCUCUGAACCUAUAAAUGGUUGGUUAUGAGAUUUGUUUAAAGUUAGUAUUUAUUUUGGGUGGUGUUGUGAUUUGGGGGAGCACGAAGGCUCUAGGAGUUUAUGGUUGGAAUUAAAUUUUCAGAAGUGUUUGCAGGUUUUACUAGGAAGGGUUGUCCAUUUUCAAGGGAGGUUAUGCCGAUUUUUCGGUAAACUUUCCUUGGAGGUGGUCCCCGCACGACUUACUCCGGGUUUCAGGGUGAAAUUCGGGGUGGGUCGUGUCAUUAACAGCAUAAUUACACAAAGGAUUUCGCAACGUCUCAUAUACAUGUGUAUUAAGAUAUACAACCAUUAAAAAAGAAGUAAAAUUGAAAGAAAACAAAGAAAAAAAAUUAGUUGAGAACAUGUAAUGUACUACCGUUUGUUAUCUACUCUCCAUAUCUUUGCAAAAUCGAACCACCAAAUCGGCAUCCUGCAUCGAAAUGAACUAAAAAUCACACCUUUUCCGCUUCUGGAUUACAUUAUCAAUCACAUUCAAACUUCCAGAUGAAAAUUACAACACUAAACAUAACGAAAAAUUGAAAUUACCUUCCCUUCAUACUCAAAAUGAUGUCCAAUCCAGCUACUCUGAUCAUCAAAUUAAGAGAAAAACAACUUGAAACAAAAUCAAAUCCCAAACUUGAAGCAAUGCUAACUAUCACUGAGCAAUUCAAAAGCCAAAACUAGUCGUUUCAGAAAGGAUACAAAAUCGACGAAAAUCGAAGACGUAGCAAUUGGAUCUUGGCGACGAAACCGAGGCCGCUGGAAGAGCGUUGAACGCGAGAACUGAAAAGGAGAAGAAUCGGAAGCUCUGUAAUUUAAAGGAAUGACGGAAGCCGCCGUGGAUUACAGGAAAUGUGAGGGAAUGAGGACGAACCUGAAGCUAGUGUGAGCAGAAUGCGAAGGGAGGACGGUGAAGAGGAGGAGGGAUCGGGGCUGAAGCAGAACGGAGAUGGCUUGAGGACGGCUCGAGGAGGCUGUGGAGGGCUCGAGGAGGCGGUGGUGGGUUUUUUAGAGUUUUUUGGAGCGUUGUGGAGGUUGUCGAGCGCUGGGUUUAAUUAUAUACCCUAUACCUUUAGCCGACGAAAUAAGAAUUUCGUCGGCUAAAGUAAUGAAAUUCGUCGGCUAAACCUGUGAAUCUCGUCGUCUAAAGUAAUGAAAUUUGUCCGUUAUAGUACUUUUUAUUUAAUAUUUUCAAUUUAUUUGUUUUAUUUUAUUUUAUUAACUAUAGCCGAUGAAUUUUAAAUAAUGUCGUUGGCUAUAGUACUUUUUAUAUAUUCGGCACAUUGUGAUUGUGAUGAUCAAACUUGAGAAAUGAAAAUCCGACCGUCAGAUCUGACCAUCAUGAUAAAAUACAUGUAUGGGAAAAAAUUCAACUUGAUCCGACAAGGUUAAGGGAUCGAUCCGGACAGUCAAUCCGUAAGUCAAACCCCUAAACGCACGGAAAAGGUCAUUGGACUGUCUAAAUUACGUAUUUUGGCCAACCUUCAACUGAAAAUAGUUUCAAAUCGAUGAGACACACCGAAGAUAGGGUUACCCAUAGGGAGAAAGAAUGGAAAAUUGCAUUAACCGCAACUAUCGGCACCGAGACUUUACCGGAAUACCGUGAUUUUUCAACUGUAAACGUAUUUCACCAUUCUGGUCAUAUCUUUAGAGGUCGUUCGAAGCGGUCAACCUUAAUUCAUCUUCAGUAUAGAAAGUUUGAGAAAAUUCAUCGUAAGAUGGGAGUAAUGGUGUGAAAUAUGAAGAUGUUAGAAAUUACAAUUUUUUUCAAUAAAGGUUCAGCCUCCAUUGCAAGGGUAAACCCUAUUUACGCUUAGUACUCUUAAAGGGAGCCUAACCACCGGAGUGCUUAUUUUUUUUCAUCGUCUAUUUGAUAUAUGUAUUCCCACUUGACGCGGCUAGCUUUAUAGAUGUUUGAAAAAUACGAUUUACCAUGUGAAUCAAGAUCCAAACGAUAACAAAAAUAAGUAAAUUUUGUAACAUUAGCCUUAAUUCACUAUAGGUCACUUCACACAAACAAUUUUCCCAACUUUCAUUUUCUCGAUAUAGUUGGUUUAUAAAGAUAUACAUUAAUUUACAAAACAUGUAUCAUUUCCUUGUAUAGAAACCAUGUAUAGAUUACUUCCUUAUGUAGAGAUACUGUAUAAAUUGAGCCCUUGUAUAGAAUUUAUUAGUUUCAUCAUAUAUAGUUGAGAUUGCACUCGUGGAUAUUACAAAGAAAGGGCAACAAAUUACAGUAAACUAGCACUAUGAAAUGUUUCCAGGCCGUGUUUCCAACAAAGGUAUUCUGAUACAUUACACAAAAAGAGUCAUUAUUGAGCCGGCAACUGGUCCAUGAGCACUAGCUGUACUCCAGCCUCCACCACUAGAACCGAUGCACCAUUCCAUUUCAUAACAACAACAAUAAACAAAAAAUUCCAGUCAAUCUUUAGCUUUAAAACGCAUUAAGCCAGGAAAGUGAAAUGUGGAACGAAUAAGCUGUAUGACUCAAAAUUGAGUUACAAGACAAUCAAGGAACUAACACAAACAAACCAUCUGUAAAGUACAGUUACUCAUCUCAUAUUGAAAAGUACCAAAACCCAACAGACUUCCUCAAAAUAUAUUCGAGACAAAUUAAUCUCUAUUAGAACUCCAACUCUGGAAAUCCCACAAAAUUAAAAUUACCCUGCACCAAAAUCCCCAAACACCUUCCUUCCAAACACAAAUUGUAUUAUGUAUCUCACCGCACACGAAACACAACAGACCCCAACCAAACUUUAGCGAAUCUAACAAGACAACAAAAACGUUAUGAAAGAGGAUAUGAUCUUCCUAUGCCAAAUAAUGAAGCCACCAAAUAAAGUAAUACAAACUAGAAAUUUGGUUUUCAAAACUAAACGAUAUAAUCAACUCCAGAACCUUAAGAACCAAAGGGAGAUAUUAACGGGCAACCCAAGCUCUCAAUAAUAAGUGACAAAAUAAAACCAAAACGAAGUUCACUAAGCAAAUGCUUCCUACAACGGUGACACUUUGAUAUGAAAAACAACAGGAAUGAUACAUAGUUUUACAAAAAACAUUAUAUCAGUCAUUUUACUGGAAGGGUGAAACUUCAUAACACAUUGAAAGAAAUCUCACAUUCACCAGACCCAUCUUACAAAGAACAUUAUAUCAGUCAUUUUACUGGAAGAACAUAGUUUACAUUAUUGAAAGGAAUUAGAAAGACAUACCAUUUGUUACCAUCUGGAAGAUGAAUUUCCUGCAAUGGAGCAACCAACUGCAGUGAAAUCAGCCAUAUAUCUCAAAUGUGAAGGUAAACCCAGUGUGACAAGCUGUCAAUUUCAAAGGAAACCUUGAAUGAAUUAUCUCAAUGUAUUUUGAUUAUACCAAAAAAUCGACAAUAUAAAUGUAUGACAUAAGCUACUAUUUUUAGGAAGACCAAAAACUUUUAGUAAAACUAGCCAUCCAUAUAUAUUCUCCUCAUGAAGAACUAGAUACUAGCUUACAUACAAACGUGUGUAGAUUCAUACAUCAAAUUUAUAUACACCAAAUGACAUAUUCUUUUGCUUAAAUUGCCACAACUCUCUUUGAUUAACUAGUUACAAGGAAUUCAUUCUAAAAAAAAAAGUUACAAGAAAUUCAGUUUGGUGUCCAGCCAGAUGGUUUAUUCAUAGUUUUAUACUGAAUCACAGAUUAUAAUUCUUGCAAGUAUUGAACUCAAUAUGAAAAACAGAAAAAACAAAUACUGUCAAUUGGAAACAUUAUAAGAUUCCAAAUGUUUGAUGAAGGAUAACCAUAUCAGACCCGUUUGUAACCAAAAUACCAUCUAUAGACUCUGACCCAUUGAUUAAAUUCUCCAAGUAUUUCCUACUGCUCAUACACAGCUCGCAAAUUAAAUAACAAUAACAUAAACUGAAUCAAAUCGAAGAGAAAGAUGGAAUGUUGGUACUUACUAGAAUAUCAGGUGAGGAGUCAGUGGAGGAGGGGGCUGUGUGGGGAAUAAUGAACUGAGGUUCUGGCCGAGGUCAAGAGAUUCAAUUUGUAUAGGUUGUCAUUGACGAUUUCAAAAAGGCAGAUCUGCCAUCAGUGUUGCCAUCGCCACACAUCUGAAUUGGAAUCACAGGCUUGCCAAGGCCUCGUAGGGUUCCCCAUCUGCAUAACCCAUACUCAGAAGGAUACGGGUUUCUGAUGCCGAAUCUAAAUACGUCGCCGCCGCUCAUCCCGGAUCGAAGACCACAGAGCGACCAAGAUGAGAGACUUUUUCUUUUGAUUGACAGACGAGAGAGACUUUGAUGAAGAAGAAUAAUAAGAUAACAAGUGCCCACUACUCAUGUAAAUUAAAACCCACGCGACGCGCUCGCCAACCGUGUGCGUCCAACCGAAACAGUACUCUCGUCAACCGACCAACGGAGUACAUGGAGCAUUUGUACAUUCCAGACGUGGCGUAGCUAGCUAGGGUCAAAGGUUUCAAUUGAACCCUCUCAACUUUUGAAAAAGCUUAAUUAGUCUUAAUGAACAAACAUAAAUUGACAUUUUUUUUGAGAAAUCUUUAAUUAAUCUUAAAUAUUCUUCAACACCAAUAGAAUGAAAUAAAAAUUUAUACUAUUAAAAUACUUGAUCUAAUUAAUACAAAUCGUGUGAAUGGUAUUUUAUCUUACUAAUGUGUACUUUAAUUGCUUUGAAUUCCAUUUACGAUUUUUUUUUUCCAUUACAAAUAAGCUAAAUAGAAGCAACACAUUAAUGUUUACCAUACAUUGACACUAUCUCUAAAAAAAGAAAAGGCAACACAUUUUUCUCAAUAUUUAUCGUGCACGAAAUUUCAAAGUUUAUUUAAGAAGAUUAUCGUGCUAGCUAGAGAGUGAUUGAAAAUGAAUUUGAUUUAUUAGGUAAUAAAUUUUGACCCUUCUAAGUGACAUUUCUGGCUACGCCACUGCAGACGUCUCCUACAAUGAGAUGCAUUUUACUGAUUUUAGUUAGGAAAUAAAGCAAAGGCAGGAUAUGUACAUUGAUUUAGUUUCGGGAUACAAUGUACACAAAUGAUCUUACUAAACUUGUAGUAUAUCAUUGAUCUCUUUUGAAAGUGAUGUGAUCUUAAAGUGAUGAAGAGAUAUAAGUGGUGAAAAUGACUUGUUUAGUUAAUUUUACGAUUACAUUGUGAUUCAAUGUCAAACAAAAUCGGAACGAAAAAAAAAUACAGUGACGAUCCAUUAUAUUACUCCUUGAGGCAAAAAAAAAAAAAA